rnacentral:rRNA from 1 species
AGUGAACGCUGGCGGUAGGCCUAACACAUGCAAGUCGAACGGCAGCACAGUAAGAGCUUGCUCUUACGGGUGGCGAGUGGCGGACGGGUGAGGAAUACAUCGGAAUCUACUUUUUCGUGGGGGAUAACGUAGGGAAACUUACGCUAAUACCGCAUACGACCUACGGGUGAAAGCAGGGGAUCUUCGGACCUUGCGCGAUUGAAUGAGCCGAUGUCGGAUUAGCUAGUUGGCGGGGUAAAGGCCCACCAAGGCGACGAUCCGUAGCUGGUCUGAGAGGAUGAUCAGCCACACUGGAACUGAGACACGGUCCAGACUCCUACGGGAGGCGGCAGUGGGGAAUAUUGGACAAUGGGCGCAAGCCUGAUCCAGCCAUACCGCGUGGGUGAAGAAGGCCUUCGGGUUGUAAUGCCCUUUUGUUGGGAAAGAAAAGCAGCAGGUUAAUACCCCGCUGUUCUGACGGUACCCAAAGAAUAAGCACCGGCUAACUUCGUG